GGGGGUUAAAGUAUUUUUAAUAUAAAUAAUUUAAAAAUUUAUAGUAAAAUAGUAUUGUAAAAGAAUUUUGAAAUAAGUGAAAAUAAAUUUAUUUAAAAGUAAUUUUUAUUUAAUGUAUCUUGUGUAUCAGAGUUUAUUAAAAAAGAUUUUAUGAAAAAAAAAUUCUCGAAUUUAAAAGAGAUAAUUAAUUAAAAAAGUUAUUGUUACAUAAAUAUUUUUAAUAAUUAAUUUGAAAUGAAAUGUUAGAUCGUUUUUAAAUAUAUCUAGUUUUUUUAGAAAAAAAUUUAAUUUUAAAUUUAUUGAUUAUUUAUUAAUUAAUUAAUUUAAUUGAUAAAUUAAAUAAAUUUUAUAUUUUAAGGGAUAAGCUUUAAAUUAAAUAAUUAUAAUAAAUAAAAAUUAAAAAUUAAGAAAAUUUUAUAAUUUAAAUUAUUAAUAAAUUUUAAUUUGUUAUAAAUAAUUUCAUAUUAAAUAAAAUUUAAUUAAAAAUUUAAUUUUAUAUAAAAAAAUAAUUUAUAAUUAAUUUAAAUUAGAUAUAAUGAUAAAAUUAGUAUAUAAAUUUAAUUAUUUUAAAUAAUAAAAAGAAAUAAUUAAUUAAUUAAAAGGAAUUCGGCAAAAAUUUAUAUUCACUUGUUUAACAAAAACAUGUCUUUUUGAAUAAUAAUUUAAAGUCUAAUCUGCCCACUGAUUUUUUAAAUUAAAGGGCUGCAGUAUUUUGACUGUACAAAGGUAGCAUAAUCAUUAGUCAUUUAAUUGAUGACUUGUAUGAAGGAUUGGAUGAAAUAUAAACUGUCUCUUAAUUAAAUUAUAGAAUUUAAUUUUUUAAUCAAAAAGUUAAAAUAUUUUAAAAAGACGAGAAGACCCUAUAGAGUUUUAUAUAUAAUAUAAUUAAAAUUAUUUAUAAAAGUAAAAAUUUAAAUUGUAUUAUUUAUUUUAUUGGGGUGAUGAAAAAAUUUAAUUAACUUUUUUUAAAAAUUUAACAUAUAUAAGUGAAAAAAUGAUCCAAUAUUAUUGAUUAUAAGAAAAAAUUACCUUAGGGAUAACAGCGUAAUUUUUUUUUUUAGUUCAAAUAAGAAAAAGAGUUUGCGACCUCGAUGUUGGAUUAAGAUAAAAUUUAAAUGCAGAAGUUUAAAAUUUUGAUCUGUUCGAUCAUUAAAAUCUUACAUGAUCUGAGUUCAAACCGGUGUAAGCCAGGUUGGUUUCUAUCUUUUAAAAAAUAAAAUAUUUUAGUACGAAAGGAUUAAAUAUUUAAAUUAAAUUUUUUUUAUAGAAUAUU
rnacentral:rRNA from 1 species